AGCGUUGUCCACGGCCUAUGCGCACAAUAGCGCACGGACAAUGCCAGAUACCUCACACCAACAUGUCGCGACAAGUGUCUGUGAAAGCACGAUUGUGCUACUGUAUUCAACUUCGUAGGCAAGCAAAGCAAAAUUUUGCGAUCAGUUGACGCUAGAAUAACCAACACAAGCAUAACGUGCACACAGUCACGUUGGACAACACUGAUUUAUAUGUAUGCAUAUUCCAUAUGUUUUUGUACACGCAUGUGCACUUUCAUAAGUAUCCCUGUAGUUCGGCUGAUGUCAAGCGAUUACCAGAGCGCGAAUUCUACUAGCGAUUUCAUGCAUUACCGCUAGUUAGUCUUUUCGCUAAUGAAAAACGAAACUCAAUGCGUAUAUGAAAUUGCAAUAACAACAAUGUGCGAGCAGAUCAAAAUUCAACAGAAAUUUAGUGUCCCGUACUAUUCCCGCAGAAAUUCACAGGAAUUGUAGUUCGAUCGAUCGCUUAGUCUGCCGUUGUCAUUUUUACACUAAAUUGUUUAGAUCUUGAGUGUCAAUUGCAGUUGAAGAGCAGUCGAAAAAGGUCAAUAAAGAACAGAUAUUCCUUAAAUAAAAAUAAUUUAUUUUAGUGUUGUUAGUGAAAAAAUUAAAGUCGAAUAAAAAAAUAAAAAAGUGAAGUGUAAUAUAUGGAUGGUCCGAACCCAAAACGAAUUAAAAAGACUUGCUACAAUCAAGUAUAUACAGAAAAGGCACGUAAAUGCGAAGAUAAGGAAGCUUUAAAGUUUUCUUCGAAGAACUGAUGGAAAGAAAAAUGAGCCAAAUUAAUGAAAAUAUUGAAGUUCGCGGAAAGAAGAACUACAUCAAAUGUAUGACUCAAAUUCUCCAGGGUUCUGGAGUGGUGAAAAACCUGAAGAAUAUUAUAACAGACGAAUUGGCCAUGCAGUACAAUAUUGAUGGAGUGUUGGGCAAAGAUUCGCUCAAAAGCUUUACAAAUUUUUUCGACGCCCUUAUUGGUAAGAACAGGACAAGCUUUUUAAUUAAAACAGUUAAUAACAAAUAUAUUUUAAUUAUUUUAGAGUCCAUUCCUACCGGGAUAGACGCUGAAUCGCCAGAGAAUCAACUGCGCCAAGCCCUUCAGCGUCAAAAAAAAACGAGUAAUAAAAAAAAAUCAUUUAGUAAAUAAAGAAAAUAAAUGAUUAAUAAAUAACAAUAUAAUGUAAGAUAGUACAUAUUUUAAAACUACUAAGAAAGAAAAUAAAUUAAAAAAUACAUAUGUAUAAUUGAAUUUAAUAAAUCUAUUGCUUUGAAUUUCAUAAAAAUUUCUUUUAUUUUCGUAAAAUUGAACCAGUAGAAUCGCUAGCGAGUUAGAAUUAAUGAAAUCGCUAACGAUUCUGUAUUAGUCAAAUCACUAGCCAUUUUGAAUUAAUG